rnacentral:rRNA from 1 species
AGCGAACGCUGGCGGCAGGCCUAACACAUGCAGGUCGAACGAACUCUUCGGAGUUAGUGGCGGACGGGUGAGUAACACGUGGGAACGUGCCUUUUGGUUCGGAAUAACUCAGGGAAACUUGUGCUAAUACCGAAUGUGCCCUUCGGGGGAAAGAUUUAUCGCCAUUAGAGCGGCCCGCGUCUGAUUAGCUAGUUGGUGAGGUAACGGCUCACCAAGGCGACGAUCAGUAGCUGGUCUGAGAGGAUGACCAGCCACACUGGGACUGAGACACAGCCCAGACUCCUACGGGAGGCAGCAGUGGGGAAUCUUGCGCAAUGGGCGAAAGCCUGACGCAGCCAUGCCGCGUGAAUGAUGAAGGUCUUAGGAUUGUAAAAUUCUUUCACCGGGGACGAUAAUGACGGUACCCGGAGAAGAAGCCCCGGCUAACUUCGU